GGAAGUAUACCCAAGUCUCGGUUGAAGGGGGCGGUCUCGAAAACCGUUAGAUGGAGUAAUCCAUGCAAGAGUUCGAAUCUCUUUACUUCCG
rnacentral:ncRNA from 12 species